AUUGAACGCUGGCGGCAUGCUUUACACAUGCAAGUCGAACGGUAACAGGGAGCUUGCUCCGCUGACGAGUGGCGAACGGGUGAGUAAUGCGUCGGAACGUGCCGAGUAGUGGGGGAUAACGCAUCGAAAGGUGUGCUAAUACCGCAUACGUACUGAGGUAGAAAGUGGGGGACCUUCGGGCCUCACGCUAUUCGAGCGGCCGACGUCUGAUUAGCUAGUUGGUGAGGUAAAGGCUCACCAAGGCGACGAUCAGUAGCGGGUCUGAGAGGAUGAUCCGCCACACUGGGACUGAGACACGGCCCAGACUCCUACGGGAGGCAGCAGUGGGGAAUUUUGGACAAUGGGCGCAAGCCUGAUCCAGCCAUGCCGCGUGUCUGAAGAAGGCCUUCGGGUUGUAAAGGACUUUUGUCCGGGAGCAAAUGCUGGUGGCUAACAUCCACCGGAGCUGAGAGUACCGGAAGAAUAAGCACCGGCUAACUACGUGCCAGCAGCCGCAGUAAGAC
rnacentral:rRNA from 1 species